GAUUUUUUAAAUUGCUGUGGUAUUUUGACUAUACAAAGGUAUUGUAAUAAGGCUUUAAUUGAGUGCUAAAAGAAUGGACUUACAAAAAAUCUCUUUUUUGAAUUCAAAAAUUGAAAUUAUUUUUAUUUGUGAAGAAACAAUAAUUGAAUUUAAAGACAAGAAGACCCUAUGAAUUUUAAUGGAUUUUAAUAUUAGUAUAAUAUUAAAAUCCCUUUAAUUGGGGCGAUUAAAAAAUAUAAAUAACUUUUUAUAUUUAAAAUAGAUCCAUUAAUAAUGAUUACAUGAAAUAAAUACUCUAGGGAUAACAGCGUAAUAAUUUUAGAUAGAUCUUAUAGAAAAAAUAGUUUGCGACCUCGAUGUUGGAUUAGGAUACUUAUUUAAUGAAGAAGUUAAAAUAAGAAGUUUGUUCAACUUUUAAAAUCCUACUUGAUCUGA
rnacentral:rRNA from 1 species